AAUACAAUAAACUUCUUUUCUCUUCCCUGGUCUUCCUGGAGUAAGUAAAAGCUGGAUUGAGAGGGUGAAACGACAACAACA
rnacentral:pre_miRNA from 10 species